AGCAAACGCAUUAAGCACUCCGCCUGGGGAGUACGACCGCAAGGUUGAAACUCAAAGGAAUUGACGGGGGCCCGCACAAGCGGUGGAGCAUGUGGUUUAAUUCGAAGCAACGCGAAGAACCUUACCAGGUCUUGACAUCCUUUGACCACUCUAGAGAUAGAGCUUUCCCUUCGGGGACAAAGUGACAGGUGGUGCAUGGUUGUCGUCAGCUCGUGUCGUGAGAUGUUGGGUUAAGUCCCGCAACGAGCGCAACCCUUAUUGUUAGUUGCCAUCAUUUAGUUGGGCACUCUAGCGAGACUGCCGGUGACAAACCGGAGGAAGGUGGGGAUGACGUCAAAUCAUCAUGCCCCUUAUGACCUGGGCUACACACGUGCUACAAUGGGAAGUACAACGAGUCGCUAGACCGCGAGGUCAUGCAAAUCUCUUAAAGCUUCUCUCAGUUCGGAUUGCAGGCUGCAACUCGCCUGCAUGAAGCCGGAAUCGCUAGUAAUCGCGGAUCAGCACGCCGCGGUGAAUACGUUCCCGGGCCUUGUACACACCGCCCGUCACACCACGAGAGUUUGUAACACCCGAAGUCGGUGAGGUAACCUUUUUGGAGCCAGCCGCCUAAGGUGGGAUAGAUG
rnacentral:rRNA from 1 species